GACGAACGCUGGCGGCGUGCUUAACACAUGCAAGUCGAACGGUAAGGCCCUUCGGGGUACACGAGUGGCGAACGGGUGAGUAACACGUGGGUGAUCUGCCCUGCACUUCGGGAUAAGCCUGGGAAACUGGGUCUAAUACCGGAUAGGACCACUGCCUGCAUGGGUGGCGGUGGAAAGCUUUUGCGGUGUGGGAUGGGCCCGCGGCCUAUCAGCCUGUUGGUGGGGUGAUGGCCUACCAAGGCGACGACGGGUAGCCGGCCUGAGAGGGUGACCGGCCACACUGGGACUGAGAUACGGCCCAGACUCCUACGGGAGGCAGCAGUGGGGAAUAUUGCACAAUGGGCGCAAGCCUGAUGCAGCGACGCCGCGUGAGGGAUGACGGCCUUCGGGUUGUAAACCUCUUUCAGUAGGGACGAAGCGCAAGUGACGGUACCUACAGAAGAAGGACCGGCCAACUACGUGCCAGCAGCCGCCGUAA
rnacentral:rRNA from 1 species